GUUUCUGCGGAGCGAGCAGCGGACGGAGGAGUUUAUCACCGCACUGUUCCGUUCGCGAAGCGCUUCCUAUGGAGUCAAACAACAGAGAGACCUUGACCACUGUGAUUCAACGCUUUGUCAUCGCAGUCUCUCGGUUCCUCACAUGCCGUUGCUGGGUUGGAUCUGCAGGGGAACAUGAGCCCAGCCUUGCUGAGGAGGAAACAAACCACAGUUCUGUCAGGCCCUGGUGUGUAGAAGAAGAAACAUCAUGGCAUCCAAAUGACAUCAUUUCACAUUGAUGAUUCACUUAUGCAUCAGCACAGACACUUUACAAAUCAGGAAGUUUCACUUUCUGUUGCCUUUGCUGCAGAACACUUCUGACAUGAAGCAUCAGGCAAGCAUCUCUUUAAAGCCAACAUCUUUCACACUGGCGAGAGUUGGGCUCACCUCCUUCAGAGAUCACCUCACUGCAGAUGUGUGCAUCACUGUAAAAAUGGGUGCUGGCAUAUAUGCGUUUCUCUUGAAUUAACCCCUUUCCAAGGCAAGUUUUAAUACACACUUCUAUAACCUAAUAAAAGCUCCAUUAGUUUGCAUUGAAGUGCCUGUAGUUAGUAUGUAAUAAGCCUGAAAUGUUCAGGGGUAAGUGGGACCUACUCUGUCACAUCAGGGUCUAAAAAUAUGAAUCACAGCCAGUAUAUAAAGUCCAGGACCUUGGAAUCAUUGGAUUUUGCACUUCCAGGGAAAAAAAUUAAUGUAAUGUUACAGUGGUCACAGUGGAUAAGUAUUACAGUAAAAAAGUGAUUGAGGUCCACAAGAUGAAAUGUCUUCCAGAGUGGAGUGAUCAGUUUUUUAUGCACUUUAUAAACAUCCACUGGAUCAGAUAAACAAUCGGUGGUUCAGUUCUAUAGCCAUGCAGAUGAUGUCAGUGACCUGAAUAUACUGCAUAUCAGACUCAGGGCUGUAAUAUGAAUAAACAAUAAUUCCCAAAUAUAAAAUUGAAUUGCUUCACAUGUUAAUUUGAAAUGCUCUAUAGAUUAAAUGUGAGGUGAUACAUGUUUGUGUUAAUCUUGACUAUGAUUCAAGUUUUUUUACCUGUAACAUUUAUAGUGUCAGUGUUUUUCACCUCAAUUAGACCUUAAUCUUAAUCUACAAGACCAAUGAAGUUGACCCAUAAAACUGUCCUGCCCCCUCAAAGGUUGUAUUCUUUCUGCUGGCUGCUUAUUGUUGCACGUUUGGAACUUUUCUUUACAUCCUUUUCUUUUUACAAAACAAUUAUAUUUUGUUACUUCUACAGAGCCUUGGUGUUUAGGUGCUUGGUCCUCCUGUUUAGGUGCUUGGUCCUCCUGUAAGUGCCAUAUGUUGUUAUUUAUAUUGUCUUGUUUGUUUUUUGUUUUUUAUUUGUCCCAGCAUGUCAGCGAGGAAAGGAAAAGUAAGGUUGAGCACAAAAAAUGUUUUAAGUAUUAAGAUUUUACAAUCGUGUUUCUUGUUCUGCUAUACCUGGUGCUAAAAAUCUCUGUUAUGGACUUGAUGGAUUGCUGGACAUGGAAGAAAUACAAGGAAAUGUAAUACAGGGAAAGUAUUACACUGAAAUGUUUUGUUUGUUGCACUUUUAAGGCUUUAUUUCAGAUUUUGUUGAGCAUUCUUUUCAUUUGUUAAGUGACUUAUUUUUGUAUUUUGAAAAGCAGUAAAAGCAUAAAGCAGGACUGUGGACUUUUAUUAUCACUCUAUUCAUGAAGCACUUCUUAUGGAGUCUGAUAGCAGAGGUAAGAAGUGACGCAAUUAAAAGUAUUUGACUGAUAGUCCUAAUUCAAGUCAUUUUUAUAAUCUCAGACAAAUAAAAUUUUGGGCAGGCCUGUGGACACACUUUCCAAAUGUGCUAAUGUCCUGCAAUGUCUUGUCAUCAGAUUGUAGCCUAUUCCCAACAGCCAUGCAGUCAUCAACCUGCUCAUUCCCCUAUAACAUUACCAUCAACCAA